rnacentral:rRNA from 1 species
CCUAUGGGAGACAGCAGUGAGGAAUAUUGGUCAAUGGGCGCGAGCCUGAACCAGCCAAGUAGCGUGAAGGAUGACUGCCCUACGGGUUGUAAACUUCUUUUAUAAAGGAAUAAAGUGAGGCACGUGUGCCUUUUUGUAUGUACUUUAUGAAUAAGGAUCGGCUAACUCCGUGCCAGCAGCCGCGGUAAUACGGAGGAUCCGAGCGUUAUCCGGAUUUAUUGGGUUUAAAGGGAGCGUAGAUGGGUUGUUAAGUCAGUUGUGAAAGUUUGCGGCUCAACCGUAAAAUUGCAAUUGAUACUGGCAGUCUUGAGUACAGUUGAGGUAGGCGGAAUUCGUGGUGUAGCGGUGAAAUGCUUAGAUAUCACGAAGAACUCCGAUUGCGAAGGCAGCUUACUAAACUGCCACUGACAUUGAUGCUCGAAAGUGUGGGUAUCAAACAGGAUUAGAUACCCCUGUAGUC